rnacentral:rRNA from 1 species
CAUAUGUAGACACACAUGGCCGACUUCGUGGUGCUAUGCGUCGGACGGUACAUCGGCAUCCCAAUUCCAACAUUCCCACUGGAGAAAGGCCCAGAGGCCUUUAAUGGCACAAUGAUCCACUCAAUGGAUUACUCCAACAUGGACGAUGCACAUGCCACUGAAGUGAUCAAAGGCAAGCUCGUUACUGUCAUUGGCUACCAAAAGUCUGCUCUUGACAUCGCCACGGACUGCGCAAACAUGAACGGUCCGAGGCAUCCUUGUACAAUGAUUAUUCGGACAAAGAGAUGGACCAUUCCUGACUUCUACGCUUGGGGUGUCCCAGUUGCUUUCUUCUACUUCAAUCGCUUGUCCGAGCUCCUAGUUCACAAGCCAGGCGAGGGGCUGCUCCUUAGCCUGCUGGCUACCUUCUUGUCACCCUUGCGAUGAAUGUUAUCAAAGUUUGUUGAGAGCUACUACAUGUGGGCAGUGCCCAUGAGGAAGCAUGGCAUGGUGCCGCAACACUGCUUCUUUCAAGCUUUAAGCUCAUGGCUUAUUGCGAUAAUGCCAGACAAAUUCUACAACAAGGUGGAGCAGGGAAGCAUUAGUCUCAAGAAAGCAAAAAAAAUUAGCUUCUGUAGAGAUGGCAUCAUUGUACAAGGUGAGUCCGCACUGAUCAAGAGUGACAUUGUGAUCUUUGGGACGGGAUAUAAUGGAGAUCAGAAGCUCAAAGAGUUGUUCGCCUCGCCUUUGUUCAGAGAGAUCGUUGUUGGCACGCCAUGUACUGCAGUUCCCCUAUAUAGGCUAUGCGUCCACCCAAGGAUUCCCCAGUUAGCAAUUGCUGGCUACUCCGAGAGCAUGGGAGAUCUACACACCUCGGAGAUACGGCCAAAGUGGCUGGUCCAUUUUCUCGAUGGGGGCUUUCGAUUGCCUACCAUAUCAUCAAUGGACGAAAAUGUGAAAGAGUGGCAUGCAUACAUGAAAUGCUACUCGGGGGACUACUUCCGUCGAUCUUGCGUCAGUUCUGUCGGCAUAUGGCACAAUGACCAGCUAUGCAAAGACAUGGGUUGUGAGCCUAGGAUGAAAAUUGGCUUUCUGGCAGACUGGGUGGUUCCCUACGAACCUGCAGAUUAUGCAGGUGUGAGUCCAACGAAGUAA